rnacentral:rRNA from 1 species
UGGGCGUUAAGUUGCAGGGUAUAGACCCGAAACCCGGUGAUCUAGCCAUGGGCAGGUUGAAGGUUGGGUAACACUAACUGGAGGACCGAACCGACUAAUGUUGAAAAAUUAGCGGAUGACCUGUGGCUGGGGGUGAAAGGCCAAUCAAACCGGGAGAUAGCUGGUUCUCCCCGAAAGCUAUUUAGGUAGCGCCUCGUGAAUUCAUCUCCGGGGGUAGAGCACUGUUUCGGCUAGGGGGCCAUCCCGGCUUACCAACCCGAUGCAAACUGCGAAUACCGGAGAAUGUUAUCACGGGAGACACACGGCGGGUGCUAACGUCCGUCGUGAAGAGGGAAACAACCCAGACCGCCAGCUAAGGUCCCAAAGUCAUGGUUAAGUGGGAAACGAUGUGGGAAGGCCCAGACAGCCAGGAUGUUGGCUUAGAAGCAGCCAUCAUUUAAAGAAAGCGUAAUAGCUCACUGGUCGAGUCGGCCUGCGCGGAAGAUGUAACGGGGCUAAACCAUGCACCGAAGCUGCGGCAGCGACGCUUAUGCGUUGUUGGGUAGGGGAGCGUUCUGUAAGCCUGUGAAGGUGUGUCGUGAGGCAUGCUGGAGGUAUCAGAAGUGCGAAUGCUGACAUAAGUAACGAUAAAGCGGGUGAAAAGCCCGCUCGCCGGAAGACCAAGGGUUCCUGUCCAACGUUAAUCGGGGCAGGGUGAGUCGACCCCUAAGGCGAGGCCGAAAGGCGUAGUCGAUGGGAAACGGGUUAAUAUUCCCGUACUUGGUGUUACUGCGAAGGGGGGACGGAGAAGGCUAUGUUGGCCGGGCGACGGUUGUCCCGGUUUAAGCGUGUAGGUGUGUGUUCCAGGUAAAUCCGGUUCACUUUAACACUGAGGCGUGACGACGAGGCACUACGGUGCUGAAGCAACAAAUGCCCUGCUUCCAGGAAAAGCCUCUAAGCAUCAGGUAACAUCAAAUCGUACCCCAAACCGACACAGGUGGUCAGGUAGAGAAUACCAAGGCGCUUGAGAGAACUCGGGUGAAGGAACUAGGCAAAAUGGUGCCGUAACUUCGGGAGAAGGCACGCUGACACGUAGGUGAAGUGAUUUACUCAUGGAGCUGAAGUCAGUCGAAGAUACCAGCUGGCUGCAACUGUUUAUUAAAAACACAGCACUGUGCAAACACGAAAGUGGACGUAUACGGUGUGACGCCUGCCCGGUGCCGGAAGGUUAAUUGAUGGGGUCAGCGCAAGCGAAGCUCCUGAUCGAAGCCCCGGUAAACGGCGGCCGUAACUAUAACGGUCCUAAGGUAGCGAAAUUCCUUGUCGGGUAAGUUCCGACCUGCACGAAUGGCGUAAUGAUGGCCAGGCUGUCUCCACCCGAGACUCAGUGAAAUUGAACUCGCUGUGAAGAUGCAGUGUACCCGCGGCAAGACGGAAAGACCCCGUGAACCUUUACUAUAGCUUGACACUGAACAUUGAGCCUUGAUGUGUAGGAUAGGUGGGAGGCUUUGAAGCGUGGACGCCAGUCUGCGUGGAGCCGACCUUGAAAUACCACCCUUUAAUGUUUGAUGUUCUAACGUGGACCCGUAAUCCGGGUUGCGGACAGUGUCUGGUGGGUAGUUUGACUGGGGCGGUCUCCUCCUAAAGAGUAACGGAGGAGCACGAAGGUUGGCUAAUCCUGGUCGGACAUCAGGAGGUUAGUGCAAUGGCAUAAGCCAGCUUGACUGCGAGCGUGACGGCGCGAGCAGGUGCGAAAGCAGGUCAUAGUGAUCCGGUGGUUCUGAAUGGAAGGGCCAUCGCUCAACGGAUAAAAGGUACUCCGGGGAUAACAGGCUGAUACCGCCCAAGAGUUCAUAUCGACGGCGGUGUUUGGCACCUCGAUGUCGGCUCAUCACAUCCUGGGGCUGAAGUAGGUCCCAAGGGUAUGGCUGUUCGCCAUUUAAAGUGGUACGCGAGCUGGGUUUAGAACGUCGUGAGACAGUUCGGUCCCUAUCUGCCGUGGGCGCUGGAGAACUGAGGGGGGCUGCUCCUAGUACGAGAGGACCGGAGUGGACGCAUCACUGGUGUUCGGGUUGUCAUGCCAAUGGCACUGCCCGGUAGCUAAAUGCGGAAGAGAUAAGUGCUGAAAGCAUCUAAGCACGAAACUUGCCCCGA